GAUCGUUCUGAUAAUCGAGAUUUUAUCGCCGAUAUCACUACGUAUUAAAAAAUUCAAUUGAUUCGUGAAAAUAUGGACACGAAAUUUGCGAAACUUCGUAGAUAUACAUACGUAAGUAAUUGUAAGAAGAACGGUUCGUGUAUUACUCGGUAGGGUGUGUAUACGGCGUACACAGAACGAUGUUAGACGUUUGAUUAAUAGCGUCAGCGCUGAUUGGUCACGCUACUAAUAAAGGAGCGUUCACACGUAUUAAAAGUUCGCGCCUCUGCGUCCACGCCGGUGUGCUCAGCGUCUUCGGUCAUUGUAGUCUAGUGUUGGCACGAUAUAACGAGGGAAUGGCGUGUCUUGCUCAUAAUUGAACCGAGCACCUACAAUCCAAUCGUUCUUAAUCAUUCGAAUUCAUCUCGCUUGCAAGUUCCAUUCUCCUUUAUUAUUCGUUGUCUUACCAACCUGUGAAACUUAUCCGAAAUCCAUAUUUCUUUUUUGCCAAUAACAAUUAUGGCGAUGGACAAUAUGGACAGUUUUGAUUAUUCUUGAUUAUUCAGAUAGAUUAAUCCAACAUGAUUGUUCAAUAAGGUAUGUUACGUUAAAAACAUUUCGAUGGAUGUUAAAUAUUUCAAUCUGAAUCUAUGAUAAAAGAAGGUCGAAGGACGGUUGCUUUGAAAGGAUAUUCAUUAUGUUCUUGAAAGUGCGGAGUCUUCGUAACAGCUUUUAAAAGGUGACAAAAUCCCCUUAGAGCACGGUUCGCAAGGGAUCAAAAAGAAGAGGGUUAGAGGAAAAAGAACUUUCCAUCUUCUGAUUUUAAAAGGAAUUUGAGGCGAGGUGAAUAAUUGGGGAAAUAAUUUGAAGAAUUGAUUAUUUGAGGAACAUUCAGAAUAAGUAUUGAACAAUGAAUAAGGUAUAUUCUAAAAUUUCCAAAUUAUUUAUUUAUCGAAAAAUAAAAAGCUUCUUAAAAAAAGAAACAACAAGAUAAUAGAAAUGAAAAUACUAUCGAUGAAAGCAACAGUUUUACUUCGUAUUCGACAUCAAUAAAGUAGGUUGAAAUGUCA